CCUACGGGUGGCUGCAGUGAGGAAUAUUGGUCAAUGGGCGGGAGCCUGAACCAGCCAAGUCGCGUGAGGGACGACGGUCCUAUGGAUUGUAAACCUCUUUUGUCGGGGAACAAAGGCGCCCACGGGUGGGCGGAUGAGUGUACCCGAAGAAAAAGCAUCGGCUAACUCCGUGCCAGCAGCCGCGGUAAUACGGAGGAUGCGAGCGUUAUCCGGAUUUAUUGGGUUUAAAGGGUGCGUAGGCGGACAGUCAAGUCAGUUGUGAAAGUUUGCGGCUCAACCGUAAAAUUGCAAUUGAUACUGGCAGUCUUGAGUACAGUUGAGGUAGGCGGAAUUCGUGGUGUAGCGGUGAAAUGCUUAGAUAUCACGAAGAACCCCGAUUGCGAAGGCAGCUUACUAAACUGUGACUGACAUUGAUGCUCGAAAGUGUGGGUAUCAAACAGGAUUAGAUACCCUAGUAGUC
rnacentral:rRNA from 1 species